rnacentral:rRNA from 1 species
GUAACGGCGAGUGAAGCGGCAACAGCUCAAAUUUGAAAUCUGGCCUCUUCGGGGUCCGAGUUGUAAUUUGUAGAGGGUGUUUCGGGCGCGAUGCCGGUCUAAGUUCCUUGGAACAGGACGUCGUAGAGGGUGAGAAUCCCGUAUGCGACCGGCGAUCAAGCCCAUGUGAAGCCCCUUCGACGAGUCGAGUUGUUUGGGAAUGCAGCUCCAAAUGGGUGGUAAAUUUCAUCUAAAGCUAAAUAUUGGCCAGAGACCGAUAGCGGACAAGUAGAGUGAUCGAAAGAUGAAAAGCACUUUGGAAAGAGAGUCAAACAGUACGUGAAAUUGUUGAAAGGGAAGCGCUUGCAAUCAGACCGGUCCGGAGGCGAUCAGCCGCUGCUCGUUCAGCGGUGCACUCGCCUGCGAUCCGGCCAGCAUCGGUUUGGGCGGCGGGAUAAAAGGCCCGGGAAUGUAGCUUCUCUCGGGGAGUCUUAUAGCCCGGGUCGCAAUGCCGCCCGCCUGGACCGAGGACCGCGCUUC